UUCCGGUUGAUCCUGCCGGAGGUCACUGCUAUCGGGGUUCGAUUAAGCCAUGCGAGUCGAGAGGGUUCGGCCCUCGGCGUACUGCUCAGUAACACGUGGAUAACCUGCCCUAGGGGAGGGGAUAACCCCGGGAAACUGGGGAUAAUACCCUAUAGGUUACAGAUGCUGGAAUGCCCUGUAACCAAAAGCUCCGGCGCCCUAGGAUGGAUCUGCGGCCGAUUAGGUUGUUGUUGGGGUAACGGCCCAACAAGCCCGUAAUCGGUACGGGUUGUGGGAGCAAGAGCCCGGAGUUGGAUUCUGAGACACGAAUCCAGGCCCUACGGGGCGCAGCAGGCGCGAAACCUUUACAAUGCGGGCAACCGUGAUAAGGGAACCUCGAGUGCCUGUAAACGCAGGCUGUUCAGGUGUUUAAAACGCACCUGGAGAAAGGGCCGGGCAAGACCGGUGCCAGCCGCCGCGGUAAUACCGGCGGCUCGAGUGGUGGCCGCUUUUAUUGGGAUUAAAGCGUUCGUAGCUGGGUUGUUAAGUCUCUUGGGAAAUCUGGCGGCUUAACCGUCAGGCGUCUAAGGGAUACUGGCAAUCUUGGAACCGGGAGAGGUGAGGGGUACUUCGGGGGUAGGGGUGAAAUCCUGUAAUCCUCGAGGGACCACCUGUGGCGAAGGCGCCUCACCAGAACGGCUUCGACAGUGAGGGACGAAAGCUGGGGGAGCAAACCGGAUUAGAUACCCGGGUAGUCCCAGCCGUAAACGAUGCGCGUUAGGUGUAUCGGUGACCACGAGUUACCGAGGUGCCGAAGGGAAACCGUGAAACGCGCCGCCUGGGAAGUACGGUCGCAAGGCUGAAACUUAAAGGAAUUGGCGGUGGAGCACCACAACGGGUGGAGCCUGCGGUUUAAUUGGAUUCAACGCCGGGAAUCACUAGUGCGGCCGCCUGCAGGUCGACCAUAUGGG
rnacentral:rRNA from 1 species